rnacentral:rRNA from 1 species
UAUACAACUCUUCACG